UUCACAGCUGUGCUUUAAAAAUAUAUUUUGUCAGGUUUUCGGCCUUAUACAAAAUGUCAUAUAACCGUUUGAGGAAAGAAUUGCUCUUGCCACAUGAAAGUAUCUUGUGAUACAUUGGUUCCAAGCAUAAAUAUGCUGCAUGGAUUUUACAAGUGCACAUACAGGCUUUGUUUCUUGAAAACGAAGGAGAAAUAUCAAAUAUUGCAUGCCUUACAUCUACUUUUCUUUCCCAUGACUCUACACAAACAAAAAGGAAAUGAAAGCAAAUCUGUCUGAAAUUUAUGAAUAACUAUAAUCUGAAGAAUCAGUAACUCCCAACAUGUACUCUAGAAACUAGGCAAUCAAGUGUUAUCUACACAUAGGCCAAAGGCUGUUAGUCUGGGAAUUUUGAUCACACAGAAGGACUAAGCAAAUUAAUAAUGUUCAUGAAGAUUCUUAAGAAACUAAAUUAUAGAAAACAUAAAAAUAUUGCUGAAUAUAAAUUAUGGAUCAAAAAUAAAAUGUAUGAUGGC
rnacentral:lncRNA from 1 species